rnacentral:rRNA from 1 species
UACGUAGGGGGCAAGCGUUGUCCGGAAUCAUUGGGCGUAAAGCGCGUGUAGGCGGCCAGAAAAGUCCGCUGUGAAAACUCGAGGCUCAACUUCGAGCUGUCGGUGGAAACUUUCUGGCUAGAGUCCGGAAGAGGAGAAUGGAAUUCCUGGUGUAGCGGUGAAAUGCGCGGAUAUCAGGAGGAACACCGGUGGCGAAGGCGGGUCUCUGGGCCGAUACUGACGCUGAGGAGCGAAAGCGUGGGGAGCGAACAGG